UGAAACUGUGGUCCAAGAGAAAGGAAUGACAAGCAAGUCCUCAGACACUAGCAAGGAGAAGAGAGAACCGAUCAA
rnacentral:lncRNA from 1 species